CCUACGGGAGGCAGCAGUGGGGAAUAUUGCACAAUGGGGGAAACCCUGAUGCAGCGACGCCGCGUGAGUGAAGAAGGAUUUCGGUAUGUAAAGCUCUAUCAGCAGGGAAGAAACCCACCCUCCGGGGUGGCUGACGGUACCUGACUAAGAAGCCCCGGCUAACUACGUGCCAGCAGCCGCGGUAAUACGUAGGGGGCAAGCGUUAUCCGGAUUUACUGGGAGUAAAGGGAGCGUAGGUGGCAAGGCAAGUCAGAUGUGAAAACCCGGGGCCCAACCCCGGGAGUGCAUUUGAGACUGUCUGGCUAGAGUGAAGGAGAGGUAAGUGGAAUUCCUAGUGUAGCAGUGAAAUGCAUAGAUAUUAGGAGGAACACCAGUGGCGAAGGCGGCUUACUGGACUGUAACUGACACUGAGGCUCGAAAGCGUGGGGAGCAAACAGGAUUAGAUACCCGUGUAGUC
rnacentral:rRNA from 1 species